UGCAACUUUGGGCCCAAAGGUUUGAAUAAUUAAAUUCAAACCUAUAGUUUUUUUUAAAUAUAAUUUUGGGACUCACAAUCCCAUUUUUAUAUUAUUUUUCUCUCUUCCUCUCACGUUGCUCGGCGUUUUCUCACAAGGGGGGAUUAUUUUCUUUUUCUUCAGAUUAUAUUGACAAAGAUAGUGGUGAAAAAGGAGUUGUGAAGGGGAACUUGUUAUUCAAGACACAAGGAGCGAAUCCGGCCGAGAAAGCACCAGAGGUGUAAUUAUGGUGUAUGAGACACCAUCUUUUACGUUGCCUCUUAUUUUGGAUUAUACAAUGUAUCUUGUGCCAACUUAGGACAUAUCUUGUCUAUGAAGCAUGUAAACUCUAAUCCUUUUUAUUAAAUGCAUUUAUAUG